UACGGGGGGGGCAAGCGUUGUUCGGAAUUACUGGGCGUAAAGGGUUCGUAGGUGGCCACCUAAGUCAGACGUGAAAUCCCUCAGCUUAACUGGGGAACUGCGUCUGAUACUGGGUGGCUUGAGUGCAGGAGAGGAAUGCGGAAUUCCAGGUGUAGCGGUGAAAUGCGUAGAUAUCUGGAGGAACACCGGUGGCGAAGGCGGCAUUCUGGACUGUAACUGACACUGAGGAACGAAAGCCAGGGUAGCAAACGGG
rnacentral:rRNA from 1 species